rnacentral:rRNA from 1 species
UACGUAGGGUGCGAGCGUUUGUCCGGAAUUAUUGGGCGUAAAGAGCUCGUAGGCGGCUUGUCACGUCGGGUGUGAAAGCCCGGGGCUUAACCCCGGGUCUGCAUUCGAUACGGGCUGGCUAGAGUGUGGUAGGGGAGAUCGGAAUUCCUGGUGUAGCGGUGAAAUGCGCAGAUAUCAGGAGGAACACCGGUGGCGAAGGCGGAUCUCUGGGCCAUUACUGACGCUGAGGAGCGAAAGCGUGGGGAGCGAACAGG